AGUGUAGGAAAAGUGAUGUGGUAUUUGCACUGGCCUCAAACCUAGCUGAGAUGAAAACCAGAUAUAGUCUGCAGUCAAUAUCCUGUCUGGAAACUGCCGUUUUAUCUCCUCUCCCCAAAGCAGCUUCCAUCCCUUUAGCUUUGCUGGCCUCGCUCACUAUGCCCACCGGUGGCUCCAGAGCCUGCAGGGUUUUGUUGGUCCAUUAUUUCGGAGGCCUCUGUCCUCUCUAGAAUUAUAUUUCUCAUACUUCCGUUUGAAGCCAUGCUGGUUCAUUGUUAUCUAAUAGCCAUAGUGCUAUACAUUUUUACUAAGCCAACCAAAGCAAAAUGCUUAAAGUCUUGAGAAAUCCCAAAUUCUCAUAAAUAGGGAAGGUUCCCACAACUUCAGGUAGUAAAGCACCCAAUAUUCUGCAUUGCUCAGAACCCCAUGGCACUGACUAUAGAAUAAGAAUAGUGAGCUCUUACAGCCUGGAAGUAAGCAAAAAUCUUGAGGGAUGAAUGCUUUUAAACUUCUGCAUUGCUUAUGGAAACACUUCAUAAUUCCCCAAACCUAACCCAUCAUAACCCUCGAAGUAAUGCUCCCAAUGCAUUCCCUCGAUACUUCCACUCCCUAAUGCUGAUAAAAAAAGAAUUUGAAAAUAAUAAGCUGACUCUAAUAAGGGGUUUGUUUACUAAUGUAAUGGAAUUUAUUUAUAAAUAUGAUAGGGAAUUUGGUACAUCUCAUUCUUGUGACCUGUGAGUUGAAGCUGUGACAGCCACCUCAUCCUUCAUUCAUCUUUGGCCUGUGGGAUCAGGAGCCAGUUGUUACGGCAGAAGUCACUCACAUACCUUUGAGCAACUUCCCCUAUUGGAGCCACAGAUGAGAACCGAGGAAGAGGAAUAAGGCCUGAGUGCUCAAGGUGGACACCAACAAGACCUGCAUGCAAAGCCCUGGAUGUCCAAAGAUUCAGAGCCCUUAGCAUCCAAGCAGCUGGCAUUCUCAUUGUACUUCCAAACUGCUCUUUUUAAUGUGUGGCUUAGAAUUACACGUAAAAGCAAGGGUUUCCUGGUCCCUAACUUCUUUGUGGGAGAGAGACUGAGCAGCAAGGAGCACCAAAGAAUAAGUCAGUCCAUUUUAAAUAUAAGCUUUUUAAGUUUUCAUGGCAACUGUAACCAUCCUGGCCUUGAGUGAAGCUCCCAAGGGAUCCACUCUUGUAGAAGAUCAGUCAGUCCCUUUCCUGAUAACGAAGGGUAAAAAGAAUGUUUAACCUCAUUGUCCUUGUGAUGAGCGUGGUGGAGAAUAUGCAAUCAGGAAGCAGGUGUGUUUGAGGAAUGGAAAGGUCAUCUCAGAUGACUGGAGGAAGAUGGGGUUCUGGAGGUGAGGACAGGAAAGCUCAGCACUUUUACAAAAGCUGCCACAAAUACCUUAUCCCAUCCUAACGGUCUGUUCUGGGUACCUCAUAAGCUUUUGGAUUUCAUCCUAAGGACAGUGUACAGAUGUGAACGUGUAGAUGGAGAAGGUGGGGCAUGAAGCCAGACGUGUUUGAAAAGCAACUCCAGAAACCAUCUCCAUUUUGCAAAGGAGGAAAAUGAAACUCAAAGUGAUUUGCCUAAAAUCACACAGCUAAAGAGUGGUCAGCCAGGAUGUCGGAACCAAAAUAGCCUCAUUCUCUUUCGAGUUUUUUUGUUUGUUUGUUUUGUUUUGUUUUUUCCAUUUGGACUUCCUUUUGCAUAAUGUUGCCAAAUACUAUGAACAAUAGUGUAGGAUGCAGGAUCUUUAUAGACAGCAACAGACACAGCAAAUGUAAUUUGGUUAUCUAGCUAAGUUUGAUCAAGAUUUCACAAAACUGCCAGCACUUGAGCAAACCAGAAGUACAUUGGCAUUUUCAGAAUGAUUACAAAUUUUCCUGAGAUAGAAGGUGCACAAGCAAAUGUUAUUACAGUACAGGCCCACACUGUAUUCAAUGCCACAGAGACUGCAGUCGAGAAAAUGAGUAAGGUGUACACUCCGUCCUACUGGGUCAUAAACUCUUUGGGAAUCUAUUUUUGCUUAUCAUUCUCUUGUGUAUUUUUGUUAACUAUACUGUAAGAUAAAGAUACUGCAUUGUUGCAAAGGGAAAAAGAUUGCAUCUGGCCUGGGGGAUCAGGAGAGCUGAAGCAGGAGGUGGCAUAGGAAGCUGGUGUUUAAAUACUAUCCACCUUUCAUAAAAACUAACAUUAUGGAACACUAAUAGUGUGCAAUAACCUUUGCAACAUUAUUUUGUUUAAUCCUGAUAACAACCUUGGGAAGAAGUACACUUACUUCACAGAUUUAAUUUGUCAGAGCAGAUGCUACAGGUGCCCUCACCGUGUGGCUUUGGGGGAGGGGUCAGCUCCUACUGUCACUGGCUGCCAGCUGGUUACCCUGACCUUUCUCAUGAGGACUACUAUUGGCCCACAGGAGAAGCCUCACCUGGAGACGUAAUGUGGAAGGCAAAGUCAAGGAAAUCUGACAACAAGAAAAUAGGAAAAAUAAGCUGAUGAGAGACAUGACUCUUGGGUUUCCUGGAUUGACCUUUUAUCAUGAACAUUUCAUUAAAAGAGACUCUUUAAAAUUUUUAUUUUAGUAGAGAAUAGAAAAUGGUUCAUUUUAAAAAUGAAUUGCUUUAAAGUGCCUCCAGGUGAUGAGAAGAAAUAAUGGGGGGAAAGUCACCCACAGACAUCACCUAGUGAAAUUUCAGGCCUUAAAGAUGUCAAGAAUCCUUGGCUAAAUCCUACAACUUUCUAGAGGGAACAUGCACACAAAGUUUGGAAGGAAAAUGAUUCUGAACCUAGAAUUCUAUGCCCAGUUUACUGGUAUUAUGUUGAGAACAAAAUAACAAUGCUCUUGAACAUGCAAAAACCCGACUGGACUGGAUGUAUAAUUUGUGGCACUUGGUACAAAAUAAAAGUGUGGGUUCCCUUGUUUAAAAAUAUUAAGAAUUUUAAGGAGUUCCUGUCAUGGCUCAGCAGAAAUGGAUCUGACUAGUAUCCAUGUGGACACAGGUUCAAUCCCUGCAUCGCUCAGUGGAUUAUGGAUCCAGCAUUGCCGUGAGCUGUGGUGUAGGUCGCAGAUGCGGCUCAGAUCUCACGUUGCUGUGGCUGGCAGCUACAGUUCCAAUUCGACCCCUAGCCUGGCAACCGCCAUAUGCCACAGGCC
rnacentral:lncRNA from 1 species